GGAGCCUGGCCCAGCAGGGACGUUGGUCCAGCGUGGCCCUCCCAGGCCAGCCCAGGGAUUUACGCUCCGCCCUGGCUCUGCAAGCCCUUUGUGAGUCUCUGGUGGCCAGCUCAGAAUGACCAAAGCAGGGCGGGCUUUCUAUGGUCAUUUCUUUACCGCACAUGACAUAAACCACCCGAGAGCCCCAGUGAACGGCAGGAGAAAUGAACAUCUUUGGGAAAGUUUGGUGGAAAACCAGCCCGUAGAGCCGUGAGAGACACAGGAUUCACUUUUGGCACUCUCGCCUGGCUCAGCCACCUGGAAUCAAGGAAGACAGCACAGUGCUGACCCCACGCUCCUGCCAAUGCUCACUUCCUCCCCUGGGGUCAUUUCCCAGGAGCAGAGCUGCAGGCCGGGGCCUCUGUCUGCCUGUGGUAGGCACCCACACUCAUUCUCAUCUGGUUCCUUGUAAGUCUUCUAUUGCAAAAUCUUCUCAGGACUUGGAGACAUGCUAUUCUCGGUUUCCCCAAUAACAAAAUGAAAGUGCAAAGGUGCCGUGUCAGCAGGUGGGCCGUGGACUUCGC
rnacentral:lncRNA from 1 species